ACAGUCAUACUUUGUAAAUGAAGAUGAUUACCUAGAUGUCUUACAGCAUUGGAUAGAGCUUUAAUGAACCAGGGUUGUCCAGAGUUGGUGACUAUUAUGGCAUGGCUACCCAGGGCCAGGGAGGUGAGGCUUAAUGAGAAAGAAGAUAAAUGAAAAUGACUACUCCUGCCUUCACUGCUGCAACAACUCAGGCCUAUAGACUUUCAUGCUGUUGUGGAUUUUGUGCUAAAGGAGAACAGUGAGAGAUACGCACCCAAGGUAUAUCCUGGAAGAAUGAAGGAGCUGGACUUGGAGAUCUCUCCCACCUCUCAAGUGGUGUAAGUGAAGGAUACUGAUCCAGUGUGACCAUGCUGCUAUUUGAAGACUUACUCAAAGUUAUCAAAUGGACUAACCAUGUGGGGGUGUGGUUUAACAAGGAAAACAGCCAGAAUAAACAUGUUAGUGUCUCAGUUUUAUGAUUGUUUCAUGUGCAGCAUCGUGACUUAAACCUGUUUUUCUUACACCAGAUGAAGGUUCUUCUACAGUCUUCACAAGGACACAAUAUUUGUCAUGAGUAAAUAUUUCUAUUCUCUUGAUAUAAUUCAGAUUAUAUCAAAAUGUGCUUUGAAAUAACAGGCAGUAGAAUCACUUGGUAUAAUCUUGUCCUCAGUUGACAUGUUUACUUAUUUUUAUCUAGCCUAUGUUUGAAGUCCAACAUGAGCUCAUUUCUCAUGCUGGGGUGGAAUGUAUGCUUCACAAGUGCAAAGGAAGGGAUCCAAUUCUUUUGCAUCUUUAGAGAUUAUCUCAUGAAGCAAGGUUCAGUUUAGAACUCUGAGAUCCAGCGCUGAUAACUUGACUUUACGAGGAUAUGCACACACAAAAAUCUGAAUGUCCAGACAAAAACUGAAAAGAAAAACCUGUUAUCUGUUUCCUCCUUUACAAAAUGGAAACUAACAACUGUUUUCCUAAUAAAAUUGUAGCAAACCUGCACAAAGUAAGCAUCUCCACCACAUUUGCUAUUACUAUUGUGACUACUACUAUUAUUGUCAAAAGAAAUUAUUGACUAAGAUGAACACAAAUUUAGAGAUACUGCUACAAUAAAUAGCACUUUCUACUAUUUAAUUAAUGUCUACAUCAUAAUUAGUAUACGAUCAUAGUAGAUUUAUUCAAUAUGACACUAUGAUAAUAACUUACUUCAAAGAGGUUUUGAAAUACUGAUUUAAUAAUAUAAAAUAUUUGGAGAAUCCUUCACUUAGGAAAGUUUUAUUUAUAUAAUUAUUACCUACUUCUAAUAUAGCCCAUCUGCCCACUAAUCCCCAAUAACACUGGCUCUACUUCUGCUGCAGGAUAAUGCUGCAUUAGCAAGUUCACCUCUAAUUUACUAACACAUAUCCUGGAGUCUCUUUAGAUAAUUCCCAAACCUCCUGCUUUCUUUCAUCUAACCAAAAUGAAUAUAUUUCCUUGUCAGCAAAUAUAUGGGUUUCAGAUGACUACAGUCCAAGCUGGUAAGCCUUGUUUUUCUAAUUUACAUUUUAAUCAAUUUCCUCUCCAGUUUGCUCCAUUUUGGCAUUUUUUUCUUCUUAUAUGUUUGCAAUACUUCCUAGGGAAUAAUACCUACAUUUUGAAUUACAGAUUUGUUGAAUGCAUCUUUUGGGUAAUUAAGAUGUUAAAGACAAGACUCAACUAUGAUCCUUAAAGAAUUCCCUUGCAUAUUUAAUCAGCCAUUACACAUACCACUAAUUGGGAUCAAUUUCCAUUUUUUCAGUUUUCAUUUGAACCAUGAAAAUCAUAGGAGUACACUUUUUCCUAACUAUAUCCAAUUAAUAUAUGUUAAUACAAAAUGUUCUUAGCAAAUAUCUCACUAUAAGUUUUCAGUUUAAAUGAUUCCAUUAGGAUAAUUAAUCUGUAAAUGCAAUUAAUUCAAAGUUAAUAAAAAUAUUUAGUUAAAAUUAAAAACUGAUUGUCAUUCCGAGAUUCUGAAAUUUGAAGUCAAUAAGAAUGGGCUUAGCAAUGUGAGGUAUUACUUAUAAAUGAUCACUAAAAGUAAAUAAAAAUUAAAAAAUUUAAAAGCCAUAGGUUAAUUUUGAAGGGCUGUAAAUAAGAAUAGUGGGCUUUUUAAAACAUGCUUGUGUAUUGCAAUCUUUCAGUAAUAUAAUAAACCCAGCACACAUUGAUCAAGUCUAUCUGCACUUAACAGAUUAAAAAUGAAAAGAAGAUCAAGAAGUUUAGAUAGAGACUUGGAUCCUCAGCCAAUUCUAAUUCUGCUACUUAGGGAAAAUUAUUAAGGCCAAUGUCACUAAGAAUAGUGGUUGAUAUUUUAUGCCUGCUUUUUGAUUGGAGAUAUAGUUUUGGUUAAUAAAUAUAUCAAAAUUAAAGCAACACCUUAAUUUUGGUGCUAGUUGUCUUUCAAACAAACUAAUAUUAGUUGAGCUAAAGAGAGAAAAAAACCCAGGAAGCAUGAAAAGGAGAGGCAUUAAACCAGCUCACUGUGAGUUUUCUGGACUUGCCAUUUUGCAUACAUCUCUCUUUCCAUUUUCAUUGAUAUAGGAAUUAUGCCAAAAACACCUUAACAAAUCAUAUGAUCUAUUUCUUUGUCAUCACAAAACCAUCUAAACAUUCAUUUCAGUAAAACAUCUCUUAGGCAUUUAACUUAAGUGUUAAACUGGUAUUUUCUCACAAGUCAAUGUGAGGUGGAUCAGACCACAGUAAUUCAAUACAGCAAGUGUCACUAUAAAGCCCUCAGGUGGUCUCCCUGAUUAUUUCAUACUAAUUAGCUCAGAUAAUUAAAGGUUCUGUUUUAUUACCUUGAUGCAAGUGGCUGAUGCUUUGGGAUAGUUAAUUCUGCUAUAUUUCAUUUUUAAAUUAAAUGUCAUUACCUGGAUAUAGCUUUUUAUUAUGCUUUAAUAUUGUCAAUAGGUAAAACAUUACAGGAAAGAAAAAAGAUUAUUUUUCAAAUUUCUUAGCACUGAUAACUUAAUUGCAAUUACUUUCUAUUUUUCAAAUAUUGAACUUCAUUAAUCCAACACUAUUCUGGUAUUUAGCUUCACAUUGUUAAAACCAGAGACAAAGGCCACAUAAAUGAAAACUUUAGGGAGAUAAUAUUAGCUGGGUUUUACCUUACAUGCCAAAUAUAUAUUUAAUUUUCUUUUCACUACUUAAAAAACUCAAAUAUUAAUUCUAUGAUGCUUUUUAAGUUCUUACUAAUCCUAAGUGUUUAGUUCUGUGAUCAUUUUUAUCUUUGAAUAACAGUCAUCAUUCUCCUUUCCCGCAUUGUCAUAACCAUCAUGUUUCCAUGGAAACUGUGGAGAAAGAGUAAAAUGGUAAAACACCUCCAUUUAGGUUUAUGUUGACAGGGUUGUUUUUUAUAAGGAGCUUCAAUUAUUUAGACAGAUAAGAAUAUGUACAGUGACCUAAUAAAUGAUAUAGAAUAAUAGCUCAUCUUUCAAAAACAGGAAAUUAUGUUUCCAGCUAAUAGGACUUAACCUUUUCUGUUAAGAACUAGUUAUUUGGUGAUGAGGCUUGGGGGUGUUUUGUUUUCUUUAUGUUUUAUUGUACUGUUGAGAUUUCUGUUAUCAUGUAAAAUAAAACAACAAAAUGAAAAAUAAAUCUU